UCAGGAUGAACGCUAGCUACAGGCUUAACACAUGCAAGUCGAGGGGCAGCAUGGUCUUAGCUUGCUAAGGCCGAUGGCGACCGGCGCACGGGUGAGUAACACGUAUCCAACCUGCCGUCUACUCUUGGACAGCCUUCUGAAAGGAAGAUUAAUACAAGAUGGCAUCAUGAGUCCGCAUGUUCACAUGAUUAAAGGUAUUCCGGUAGACGAUGGGGAUGCGUUCCAUUAGAUAGUAGGCGGGGUAACGGCCCACCUAGUCUUCGAUGGAUAGGGGUUCUGAGAGGAAGGUCCCCCACAUUGGAACUGAGACACGGUCCAAACUCCUACGGGAGGCAGCAGUGAGGAAUAUUGGUCAAUGGGCGAGAGCCUGAACCAGCCAAGUAGCGUGAAGGAUGACUGCCCUAUGGGUUGUAAACUUCUUUUAUAAAGGAAUAAAGUCGGGUAUGCAUACCCGUUUGCAUGUACUUUAUGAAUAAGGAUCGGCUAACUCCGUGCCAGCAGCCGCGGUAAUACGGAGGAUCCGAGCGUUAUCCGGAUUUAUUGGGUUUAAAGGGAGCGUAGAUGGAUGUUUAAGUCAGUUGUGAAAGUUUGCGGCUCAACCGUAAAAUUGCAGUUGAUACUGGAUAUCUUGAGUGCAGUUGAGGCAGGCGGAAUUCGUGGUGUAGCGGUGAAAUGCUUAGAUAUCACGAAGAACUCCGAUUGCGAAGGCAGCCUGCUAAGCUGCAACUGACAUUGAGGCUCGAAAGUGUGGGUAUCAAACAGGAUUAGAUACCCUGGUAGUCCACACGGUAAACGAUGAAUACUCGCUGUUUGCGAUAUACAGCAAGCGGCCAAGCGAAAGCGUUAAGUAUUCCACCUGGGGAGUACGCCGGCAACGGUGAAACUCAAAGGAAUUGACGGGGGCCCGCACAAGCGGAGGAACAUGUGGUUUAAUUCGAUGAUACGCGAGGAACCUUACCCGGGCUUAAAUUGCAGAUGAAUUACGGUGAAAGCCGUAAGCCGCAAGGCAUCUGUGAAGGUGCUGCAUGGUUGUCGUCAGCUCGUGCCGUGAGGUGUCGGCUUAAGUGCCAUAACGAGCGCAACCCUUGUUGUCAGUUACUAACAGGUUCCGCUGAGGACUCUGACAAGACUGCCAUCGUAAGAUGUGAGGAAGGUGGGGAUGACGUCAAAUCAGCACGGCCCUUACGUCCGGGGCUACACACGUGUUACAAUGGGGGGGUACAGAGGGCCGCUACCACGCGAGUGGAUGCCAAUCCCAAAAACCUCUCUCAGUUCGGACUGGAGUCUGCAACCCGACUCCACGAAGCUGGAUUCGCUAGUAAUCGCGCAUCAGCCACGGCGCGGUGAAUACGUUCCCGGGCCUUGUACACACCGCCCGUCAAGCCAUGGGAGCCGGGGGUACCUGAAGUGCGUAACCGCGAGGAGCGCCCUAGGGUAAAACU
rnacentral:rRNA from 1 species